rnacentral:rRNA from 1 species
AUUGAACGCUAGCGGGAUGCCUUACACAUGCAAGUCGAACGGAGUGGCGAACGGGUGAGUAAUGUAUCGGAACGUGCCCAGUAGCGGGGGAUAACUACGCGAAAGCGUAGCUAAUACCGCAUACUAUUGGAGCGGCCGAUAUCGGAUGAGCUAGUUGGUGGGGUAAAGGCUCACCAAGGCGAGGAUCCGUAGCUGGUUUGAGAGGACGACCAGCCACACUGGGACUGAGACACGGCCCAGACUCCGACGGGAUGCAGCAGGGGGGAAUUUUGGACAAUGGGGGAAACCCUGAGACAGCCAUCCCGCGUGUGCGAUUAAGGCCGUCGGGUUGUAAAGCACUUUAGGCAUGAAAGCGGUACCUGCAGAAUAAGCACCGGCUAACUACGUUCGAGCAGCAGCGGUAAUUC